UACGUAGGGUGCAAGCGUUAAUCGGAAUUACUGGGCGUAAAGCGUGCGCAGGCGGUUUUGUAAGUCUGAUGUGAAAUCCCCGGGCUCAACAUGGGAAUUGCAUUGGAGACUGCAAGGCUAGAAUCUGGCAGAGGGGGGUAGAAUUUCACGUGUAGCAGUGAAAUGCGUAGAGAUGGGGAGGAACACCGAUGGCGAAGGCAGGCCCCUGGGUAAAGAUUGACACUCAUGCACGAAAGCGUGGGGAGCGAACAGG
rnacentral:rRNA from 1 species